rnacentral:rRNA from 1 species
UACGUAGGGGGCAAGCGUUGUCCGGAAUCAUUGGGCGUAAAGAGCGUGUAGGCGGCUCGGUAAGUCCGCUGUAAAAGUCCAGGGCUCAACCCUGGAAAGCCGGUGGAAACUGUCGAGCUAGAGUCCGGAAGAGGCGAGUGGAAUUCCUGGUGUAGCGGUGAAAAUGCGCAGAUAUCAGGAGGAACACCAAUGGCGAAGGCAGCUCGCUGGGACGGUACUGACGCUGAGACGCGAAAGCGUGGGGAGCAAACAGG